UGGGGAAUAUUGCACAAUGGGCGCAAGCCUGAUGCAGCCAUGCCGCGUGUAUGAAGAAGGCCUUCGGGUUGUAAAGUACUUUCAGCGGGGAGGAAGGCGUUGAGGUUAAUAACCUCAGCGAUUGACGUUACCCGCAGAAGAAGCACCGGCUAACUCCGUG
rnacentral:rRNA from 1 species